rnacentral:rRNA from 1 species
UACGUAGGGGGCAAGCGUUGUCCGGAAUCAUUGGGCGUAAAGCGCGUGUAGGCGGUCCGGUAAGUCCGCUGUGAAAGUCGGGGGCUCAACCCUGGGAUGCCGGUCGAUACUGCCGGACUAGAGUCGAAGAGGCGAGUGGAAUUCCCGGUGUAGCGGUGAAAUGCGCAGAUAUCGGGAGGAACACCAAUGGCGAAGGCAGCUCGCUGGGACGUUACUGACGCUGAGACGCGAAAGCGUGGGGAGCAAACAGG